rnacentral:rRNA from 1 species
AGUGAACGCUGGCGGUAGGCCUAACACAUGCAAGUCGAACGGCAGCACAGUAAGAGCUUGCUCUUACGGGUGGCGAGUGGCGGACGGGUGAGGAAUACAUCGGAAUCUACUUUUUCGUGGGGGAUAACGUAGGGAAACUUACGCUAAUACCGCAUACGACCUACGGGUGAAAGCAGGGGAUCUUCGGACCUUGCGCGAUUGAAUGAGCCGAUGUCGGAUUAGCUAGUUGGCGGGGUAAAGGCCCACCAAGGCGACGAUCCGUAGCUGGUCUGAGAGGAUGAUCAGCCACACUGGAACUGAGACACGGUCCAGACUCCUACGGGAGGCAGCAGUGGGGAAUAUUGGACAAUGGGCGCAAGCCUGAUCCAGCCAUACCGCGUGGGUGAAGAAGGCCUUCGGGUUGUAAAGCCUUUUUGUCGGGAAAGAAAAGCAGCAGGUUAAUACCCCGCUGUUCUGACGGUACCCAAAGAAUAAGCACCGGCUAACUUCGUG